CCUACGGGAGGCAGCAGUGGGGAAUAUUGGACAAUGGGGGCAACCCUGAUCCAGCCAUGCCGCGUGUGUGAAGAAGGCCCUCGGGUUGUAAAGCACUUUCAGUGAGGAAGAACGCCUGGUGGUUAAUACCCAUCAGGAAAGACAUCACUCACAGAAGAAGCACCGGCUAACUCCGUGCCAGCAGCCGCGGUAAUACGGAGGGUGCGAGCGUUAAUCGGAAUUACUGGGCGUAAAGCGCGCGUAGGUGGCUUGAUAAGCCGGUUGUGAAAGCCCCGGGCUCAACCUGGGAACGGCAUCCGGAACUGUCAAGCUAGAGUGCAGGAGAGGAAGGUAGAAUUCCCGGUGUAGCGGUGAAAUGCGUAGAGAUCGGGAGGAAUACCAGUGGCGAAGGCGGCCCUCUGGACUGACACUGACACUGAGGUGCGAAAGCGUGGGUAGCAAACAGGAUUAGAUACCCGUGUAGUC
rnacentral:rRNA from 1 species